GAACCUUAGAUGGCUGGAAUGGUAGGAUGCCUCCUUGGCAUGGAGGUGGUCGAGGGUUCAAAUCCCUCCCGGUCCACCA
rnacentral:tRNA from 1 species